GAUGAAGAACGUAGCGAAAUGCGAUACUUGGUGUGAAUUGCAGAAUCCCGUGAACCAUCGAGUCUUUGAACGCAAGUUGCGCCCGAAGCCAUUAGGCCGAGGGCACGCCUGCCUGGGUGUCACACGUCGUUGCCCCCCCAUCUACUCCUUCGGGAUUGCGGGGGGCGGAUGAUGGCCUCCCGUGCGCCUCGUCGCGCGGUUGGCAUAAAUGCCAAGUCCUCGGCGACGCACGCCACGACAAUCGGUGGUUGCGAAACCUCGGUUGCCCGUCGUGUGCGGUCGUCGCGCAUCGAGGGCUGGAAAAAAUUGCCGGGCUCCGGCUCGGCUUUCAACGCGACCCCAGGUCAGGCGGGGUUACCCGCUGAAUUUAAGCAUAUCAAUAAGCGGAGGA
rnacentral:misc_RNA from 1 species